rnacentral:misc_RNA from 1 species
AUCCAGUUCAGACCAGGAGGUGAGUAUCAUGGAAAUAAUCCAGAAAUGUCAAAACUUCUUCAUAAAGCAGUUCGUGAGAAGAGUGAAAAUGCUUAUUUUAUUUAUCAGCAACACCUCGAAAAUCGACCUGUGAAUGUUCUCCGUGAUCUUCUUGAGUUCAAAAGUGACCGGCCACCAAUUCCUGUUAGCAAAGUUGAAUCAGCA